rnacentral:rRNA from 1 species
UACGUAGGGCGCAAGCGUUGUCCGGAAUUAUUGGGCGUAAAGAGCUCGUAGGCGGCUCGUUGCGUCAAUCGUGAAACCUGGGGCUCAACCCCGGGCGUGCGGUGGAUACUGCCGGCUAGAGGGUGGUAGAGGCGAGUGGAAUUCCUGGUGUAGCGGUGGAAUGCGCAGAUAUCAGGAGGAACACCAAUAGCGAAGGCAGCUCGCUGGGACGGUACUGACGCUAGGCGCGAAAGCGUGGGGAGCAACAGGG